GACAGAGGAUGCAAGCGUUAUCCGGAAUGAUUGGGCGUAAAGCGUAUGUAGGUGGCUAAGCAAGUCUAUUGUUAAAUCCCAGAGCUUAACUCUGGUCAAGCCGUAGAAACUGCUCAGCUUGAGUACGGUAGAAGUAAAGGGAAUUUCCGGUGGAGCGGUGAAAUGCGUUGAUAUCGGAAAGAACACCAAAGGCGAAGGCACUUUGCUAGGCCGAAACUGACACUAAGAUACGAAAGCUAGGGGAGCGAAUGGG
rnacentral:rRNA from 1 species